ACAGAACGAAUGUCCACAUCAAAGACCGACCCUAUGCUUGUAGAUACAAGUGCGGAAAGAAGUACAACGAUCGAUCGAACAGAAACUAUCACGAAAAGAAGAUUCACGGAAUUCUGUUUGAGGAAACAAGGAAUUGUGGUGCUAAUGAAGGAGAAUAAAACUCGAAAUUGUUUAAAAGUUUGCGCUUUAAAAUUUAUGUGUUGUAAGAUGUAAGAAAAAGAUGUAAUAAAUGGCUUAAAAUCUUA